GCAGCAGUAACUCAGCCUCAGAGUGCCGGUUUUGUAAGCCGGACGCCGAAGGUUAAAAUCCUUCCUGCUAC
rnacentral:tRNA from 1 species